AUGUUAACAUUUAAAGAUAUUCCUAAACAUUAUCAACUGAAUGUAUUUUUAUUUAUUAAAAAUAUUAUUUUAAAGAUUGUUUGUACAUAUGUUUUAUCAGUUGGAGAUGAGAAAUAUGGUAGUGAUAAAGUGUUAAAAGCAGGGGAAGGAGUAGGAAUAGAAGCAAAUACUCAAACGGAUGGUAUAGAAACACAAGAGAAAGAACAAAUUAACAACAGCAUAAACAAUAAUAACAUAAGUAAUGAUAACGUAAGCGAUAAUAACAUAAGUAAUGAUAACGUAAGUAAUGAUAAUGUAAGUGACGACGAUAAUAAUAAAAAUAUUAUACAAAAUAUGGACAAAAAAAUAAUUAAUAAGAAGGUUGAAACAAAGGAUCCAAUUGUAUUAUUAAUAAAAAAGAAUAACCCUAAAUAUAAAGAUUUGGAAAUUGCAGAUUUUCUUUUUAACAAAACACGUAUUAUCACUGAAAAUGAAAAAUAUAAUAACUUAAAAAAAAUAAAUUAUUUUUUAAAAACUGUUGAUUUUUUAAAUAUAAAUAAUAAUUAUUCUAACUUUAUGUUUGACAAAUAUACCAUUAACAUUCUUAUGGUACAAGUAACAAAAGAAUUUUUUAAUACUUUGAACUUUUUAUAUAUGUAUAGUAAGAAAAUUAAAAAUACUGAAAACAAAGAAACGGACGUUGAUAAAAAAGUUGGACAAACAAUUUUGAAUAAACAAAACAAUAUAUACACAAAAGCAUUAUAUUCUCUAAUUAUUCUUUUAAAAUCAAUCCAAUUUUUUUUAAAUUCGUUUUUAUGUAUUAUUAAUAGUACCAAAUCAGGUAAAGAGUAUGUAUUGGCAAGUUAUAACAAUAAUAAAAAUGAUAAAAGUAAUACUACACUGUCUAAUCACACGUAUAACUUUUUAUGUAGCCAACAAUAUUAUGAACAAAUGAAAAGCAAUAAACAAAAUAAAAUUUGUAAAAAAAAAAAUGUUCAUUUUUUUUUAAAAAAUAGUUAUAAAAAUAAUAGUAGUAUAAAAAAAAAACAUUUAAAAGUUUUAAAAAAAAUGAUAAAAUCAUAUAUAAUUGUUUUGUCAGAAAGUUGUAUAAAGAAUAAAGUUUCAUGUUCGACAGAUAUAAUCGAAAUAGGUAGAAUUAUUAUAUUUGUUUUUAAUUUUGUUUUAUUUUUUAUAAUGCAUACUACUAUGGAAGGUGUUGACAUAAAUAACAACGAAAAACAAGAGUUUGAAAAGGGGGAAAAAAAAAAAGAAACAGUAGCAACAACAGUAGCAACAACAGCAGCAACAACAACAACAACAACAGCAACAACAACAACAACAGCAACAGCAACAACAACAACAACAGCAACAGCAACAGCAACAACACUAAUUAAAAAACAAAAAUUAAAAGUGUUAAAAAUGAAAUAUAAAGCCAUUUUGAGUAGUAUGGAAAAAAUAAAUAAAUUAACAAAAGAGUAUGAACAUGUCAGCAGGAAUGAUAAAAAAAACGGAUUUUUUUGUGAUGAUGUUAAAAGAGAAAUUAAAAUAAUUACAAAAACAUAUUUACUAAUGAGUAAUAUUAUUAAUAAUAAUUCAGAAAAUGCACAAUUCAAAUUAUUUAAUAAACAUAUGUUUACAAAUAUGUAUGAUGAAAACGAAAAUUACAAUUUAUCUGAACAUGUAUAUAAAAAAAUCAAAAAAAUUAGUACGAAAAAUGUAAUAAAGGAUUACUAUACAAUUGCAGAGGAAAUUCGUGAAGAUGCUACAUUAACAAAGGUCAAUAAUAUAACAACUUCCAACAUAAAUGAACAUAAAAACAUUAUUACAAACACAUGUAUUAAUGAUGGUUUAUACAAAACUGGUGAAGAUAAUAGUGAUAUUAUAAUUUCAAACGUUUCUUUAUUAAAUCUAUUAACUGACGAUUUAUAUGAAGAAAUGGAAAAAGAAGAGGAAAACGAGGAAAAAAAAAAUAUCAAUAAAAUUGUGAAAAAAAAAAGAAAACGACCUAAACAGUUUAACAAAAUAAUUUUUAUGUUAAAACAUAUUUUAAAAAAUAUAAAAAACCAAAAAAUAGAGCAAAUAAUUGAAAAUUUAUAUUUUCUAAUUUUAUCUUUAAUUGCUUGUAAAAAAAAAAGAAAGGUUAUUUUAAAUAUUCUUAAAUUAAAAGGAGGCGUAAAAAUGUUAAAAAAUAAUGAACAUGUUUAUAAUGUUGAUAGUGAGGAAAUGAACAAAGAGAGUAAUGGUAACGACGGUGUUAACUGUGGAGGAGGAGAAAAUAUAGAAGUGGAUCAUGUCGAGGUAGAUUCUACCGAAGUUAACAAUGCCGAAGUUAACAAUGCCGAAGUUAACAAUGCCGAAGUUAGCAAUGCCGAAGUUAACAAUNCCGAAGUUAGCAAUGCCGAAGUUAACAAUACCGAAGUUAGCAAUGCCGAAGUUAACAAUACCGAAGUUAACAAUACCGAAGUUAACAAUACCNNNNNNNNNNCCGAAGUUAACAAUACCGAAGUUAACAAUACCGAAGUUAACAAUACCGAAGUUAACAACGUAGAGGUGGAUUAUGCGAAUAUUCUUGACCAAACCGAAAUCAAAGCUAAAAGAAAGACUAUAGAGGUUUACCUAAAUGACAUAAACGCCAUUGAAAAAUUAAUAAAUAAUAUUUUUUUUUCUUUUAAAACAAAAAUUUCAUCUUUUAAAAGAAAAAAAACACAAAUUAGCAUGAUAGAUAAAACUAAAGUUGGUACAUUAUUAGAUAUGUAUACUUUCGAAAUAAUAAAAAUAUUAAUAAAAAAAAGAAAUAAACACAUAAUUGACACUUCAUUAAAAUGUUUACAAUAUUAUAAUAUACUUGAGCAUUUAUUAUUUAGUCAACAUAGUAUAGUAGUUACUUAUCUAUUUGAAUUUUUACAAAUAAUAAAUUACAUAACUCCAUUAAAAUCAUUUUAUUCCAAUUUUUUGAAUUCGUUUUGUACUAGUUAUUUUGUUAAGUAUUUAAAAUUAGAUACGUUUUUUUUAUAUAAAUCUUUUCCCAGAUUAUUUCCACGUAUUAUUAAUAGGAUAAUUACAGUAUUCGAUAUAAAUGAUUAUAUUAAAAAUGUGAAUAUAAAAGAAAAAGAGAUAAAAAAUGAAGUAAAAAAUGAAGUAAAAAGUAAAGUAAAAAGUGAAAUAAAAAAUAUUAUUAUAGAAGAAAUGAAAAAAAAAUUUCAUCAGAAAAAUGUAAUAAUAGACGAAGAACUUUUUACGAAAUAUAUAAGUUGUAGUAAUGUUAGUGACACAAAAAAAAAAGAUGACGGUGAUCAUGAUCAAACUUGUGACAAUAUAAAUUUGUUAACAAUUUUUAAUUUCAAUGAAUUAUUUUAUCUGAUUCAAAGUAUAGGUACAUAUUUAAACAAAUUAUUAACAUCAAACAAACCUUAUUUGUUUAAUAGACAGGUAAAUAUAAAUAUGUUAAUUUUAUUAAAAAAAAUAGGAUCCUCCAUAAAUCAAACAAAAAAUGAUAAAAAAAGUACAAAUAACAAUUUAAUAAAAUUUCAAUCCGAAUGUAAAAACACUUAUAUGAAUGAAAUUAUUUCAUUUCAAAAAAAUUUGGAAAAAAAAAUAAAAACACAAGAAAUAAAUAUUAAUAUAAAUAAUUUUUAUAAACAUUUAAAACACGUUUUUCAAAGUUUCAAUUUAAAAAUUUAUACUUUUCAAGAGCGUUAUAAUCAAGUCGAAGAAAAAAAAAAUCUAUCAAAAAAUUAAUAAUAUCGAUAUGAGUAAAUUUCCUAAGAGGCCUUUACCAAACAGUGUGGAAACUCAAAAAAGAGUAAAAUUUAAUCAAACGAACAAAACAGAUCAUGUAAAAACUGGGGAUAAAAACAAGCAUGCGAAGAUGAGUGAAAACAAUAAUCAUAAAGUAGAUAUGGCAAACACGUCUGGGAAUAAGAAAAAAAAAUUUAAGCAUAAGGGAAAAACGUCUAAGUACGAAGAAAACACGUUUAAACAUAAGGCAAAAAAGUUUAAACAUGAGGAAAAAAAGUUUAAACAUGAGGAAAAAAAGUUUAAACAUGAGGAAAAAAAGUCAAAGCAUAAGGCGAUUAAAAAAUGAGCAUCCUAAUCCUACAAAAUAAUGUUUACAUAUUUACAUGUGUAUGUAUAUAUUAUUUUUUUUUAAAAUUUACAUAAAAAAAAAAAAAAAAAAAAAAAAAAAAAUAAUGACUGUUAUUAUGCAUAUAUUUAUACGUACUUGUUAUAAUAAAGUGCAUAACAGAAUGUGAGUUACA
rnacentral:lncRNA from 1 species